CUGUUAUUCGUUUCAGCAAUAAUAAUACAUUUGUUCCACUAUGGAGAAGCACCUGGCCCUUGCGUACAUCAGGAUCAAGCUAAGGGCUUGUGAUGAUGAAGAGACAGUGUGGUCAACCCAUUCGGCAAGAGUGAAGGAAAUUAUUUUGAGGAAGAUCAGCAUACUGCAGAAUGCUCGGUUACUCACAAGGCAAAAACCAACUGUACUGGUUUCUCAAUUGAAGAGAGAAUCAUUUGAAACAGACCCUCCUAGCAAUCACUUUGUGGAUACUUUCAGAAAACAGCACCCAAAUGAUGAUGCUUUUAUUGAAGAAACAACAAUUGUUGAACCUUCGUGUAAUAUUUGUUGAACCUUAUGUGAGAUUGUUUUGUUUUGUUCUGAAUUGCAAA